rnacentral:rRNA from 1 species
AACGAACGCUGGCGGCGUGGAUAAGACAUGCAAGUCGAACGGGAUUACUUUUGUAGCAAUACAGAAGUAAUUCAGUGGCGAACGGGUGCGUAACACGUGGGCAAUCUGCCGAGAAGUGGGGGAUAGCUCGCCGAAAGGCGAAUUAAUACCGCAUAUGAUCAGGGACGACAUCUUCCCAACAUCAAAGCCGGGGCAACCUGGCGCUUUUUGAGGAGCCCGCGGCCUAUCAGCUAGUUGGUGAGGUAACGGCCCACCAAGGCUAUGACGGGUAGCUGGUCUGAGAGGACGACCAGUCACACUGGAACUGAGACACGGUCCAGACACCUACGGGUGGCAGCAGUCGAGAAUUUUUCUCAAUGGGGGCAACCCUGAAGGAGCGACGCCGCGUGGAGGAUGAAGGC